rnacentral:rRNA from 1 species
AUUGAACGCUGGCGGCAGGCCUAACACAUGCCAGUCGAGCGGAUGAAGGGAGCUUGCUCCUGGAUUCAGCGGCGGACGGGUGAGUAAUGCCUAGGAAUCUGCCUGGUAGUGGGGGAUAACGUCCGGAAACGGGCGCUAAUACCGCAUACGUCCUGAGGGAGAAAGUGGGGGAUCUUCGGACCUCACGCUAUCAGAUGAGCCUAGGUCGGAUUAGCUAGUUGGUGGGGUAAAGGCCUACCAAGGCGACGAUCCGUAACUGGUCUGAGAGGAUGAUCAGUCACACUGGAACUGAGACACGGUCCAGACUCCUACGGGAGGCAGCAGUGGGGAAUAUUGGACAAUGGGCGAAAGCCUGAUCCAGCCAUGCCGCGUGUGUGAAGAAGGUCUUCGGAUUGUAAAGCACUUUAAGUUGGGAGGAAGGGCAGUAAGUUAAUACCUUGCUGUUUUGACGUUACCAACAGAAUAAGCACCGGCUAACCUCGUG